rnacentral:lncRNA from 1 species
AAGGGAGUAUUUAUCCCACUAAAACACUGUUCAUUUAUUUUAUUACUAAAACAUACAAUUAAAUAAAUAAUAAAUAAAAACCUUAAUAUAUAUAAUAUUAUAAAAUAGUUUUAGUGUGAAGUUUAGUGUUAUGGUUGGAGAAAGACCUUGGUUUUAGUGUUGAAAUUAUACUAAAAUAAUGUGGUUUUGACACUAAAAUGAUGUUAGUGGUUGGAGAUGCCCUUAGGCUUUUGGAAUAUAGAUUUUUUUUUUGAAACUUUUUUUUUUGAAACUUGGAAUAUAGAUUUGAUGAUGGCUUAUGUUACAAACUCGUAAAUUUGAAACAUAUGUACGUUAUCAUGUCUAACCAUGUGCAUGUGCAUUGCAAUUGAAUGUAAUUAGCGUACUUUGAAAUUAUAAUUAAUUAUAAUGCGUUAAACCGUAACAAGUGAAUUAUGAUUGGAUGUUCUGUAAUACUAUGUUGUUGCUAGAGUUAAAAAUUUAAUUAAAAUAAAAAGCAAGAACAGUCGAACGUGCAACACAAAGAGUUUAAUUUCUCAAAAAAAAAAACACAAAGAGUUUAAACUUUUUAUCUCUUAC